rfam:Monodelphis domestica chromosome 7, whole genome shotgun sequence.
GAGAAAGUCAUAAAGGUUAUAGGGUUGCCUUGAAAUUAAUCUAAGGGGGUUCAAUUCCUCCCUUUCUUA